rnacentral:rRNA from 1 species
UACAGAGGUGGCGAGCGUUGUUCGGAUUUACUGGGCGUAAAGGGUGCGUAGGUGGUCUCGUGUGUCGGACGUGAAAUCCCACUGCUCAACGGUGGAACUGCGUUGGAAACUGCGAGACUUGAGUGCAGGAGGGGAGAGCGGAAUACUUGGUGUAGCGGUGAAAUGCGUUGAUAUCAAGUAGAACACCGGUGGCGUAGGCGGCUCUCUGGAAUGCAACUGACACUGAGGCACGAAAGCUAGGGGAG